AGAAGGUCAAUCCGAGUCAUCAAGCAACGCAGGAAAACAGUGUGGGGUCUAGAGCAGCUGUCCAUAACAUACGGGACCCCCAUGGAUAUCGGUAGUGACCAAGGAACCCACUUUACUGACCAGGAGGUUCAGGAAUGGGCUGAUGAAAAAUGACAUAUGCUGGUAUUUCCACCUGCUUUAUGACCCUACUACUGCCAGGCUAAUGAAAGGAUGAAUGGACUACUUAAUAGAGACUGAAACCCGCUCUCCACAUGUGGACGAGGAGGCUGACUCAAGCCCCAUGAACUCUAGCUGAACGUCGCAGGAGUAAUCAACCCUGUGGCUAAGCCAUGUUAACCCAGAGGCAACUAGUCCACGCCAUCCAAGUCCAACUGUUGACCACCGCAGGACCGUUGCCAAGUAUCGAUCUGGACAGUAACUUGCUUUUGCCCUGCCCACGGGACCUAUCCCCAGGAGAAGACAUUGUAAAACGGCCCGGGAGUCGCAGGUGGGAGGCAUUACAGAAGGUCAAUCCGAGUCAUCAAGCAACGCAGGAAAACAGUGUGGGGUCUAGAGCAGCUGUCCAUAACAUACGGGACCCCCAUGGAUAUCGGUAGUGACCAAGGAACCCACUUUACUGACCAGGAGGUUCAGGAAUGGGCUGAUGAAAAAUGACAUAUGCUGGUAUUUCCACCUGCUUUAUGACCCUACUACUGCCAGGCUAAUGAAAGGAUGAAUGGACUACUUAAUAGAGACUGAAACCCGCUCUCCACAUGUGGACGAGGAGGCUGACUCAAGCCCCAUGAACUCUAGCUGAACGUCGCAGGAGUAAUCAACCCUGUGGCUAAGCCAUGUUAACCCAGAGGCAACUAGUCCACGCCAUCCAAGUCCAACUGUUGACCACCGCAGGACCGUUGCCAAGUAUCGAUCUGGACAGUAACUUGCUUUUGCCCUGCCCACGGGACCUAUCCCCAGGAGAAGACAUUGUAAAACGGCCCGGGAGUCGCAGGUGGGAGGCAUUACAGAAGGUCAAUCCGAGUCAUCAAGCAACGCAGGAAAACAGUGUGGGGUCUAGAGCAGCUGUCCAUAACAUACGGGACCCCCAUGGAUAUCGGUAGUGACCAAGGAACCCACUUUACUGACCAGGAGGUUCAGGAAUGGGCUGAUGAAAAAUGACAUAUGCUGGUAUUUCCACCUGCUUUAUGACCCUACUACUGCCAGGCUAAUGAAAGGAUGAAUGGACUACUUAAUAGAGACUGAAACCCGCUCUCCACAUGUGGACGAGGAGGCUGACUC